AAAGGAAGUUGACGGGGGCCCGCACAAGCGGUGGAGUAUGUGGUUUAACUCGAUGCAACGCGAAGAACCUUACCUGGUCUUGACAUCCCAGAAAUCCCUUGGAAACUUGGGAGUGCUUCCAUUAGGAAGAAUCUGGAGACAGGUGCUGCAUGGCUGUCGUCAGCUCGUGUCGUGAGAUGUUGGGUUAAGUCCCGCAACGAGCGCAACCCUUGCCUUUAGUUGCCAGCAGUUCGGCUGGGCACUCUAAAGGGACUGCCGGUGUUAAACCGGAGGAAGGUGGGGAUGACGUCAAGUCCUCAUGGCCUUUAUGACCAGGGCUACACACGUACUACAAUGGCCGAUACAAAGGGCAGCGACAUCGCGAGGUGAAGCCAAUCCCAUAAAAUCGGUCUCAGUCCGGAUUGGAGUCUGCAACUCGACUCCAUGAAGUUGGAAUCGCUAGUAAUCGUGGAUCAGCAUGCCACGGUGAAUACGUUCCCGGGCCUU
rnacentral:rRNA from 1 species